rnacentral:rRNA from 1 species
UGCUGCAUGGCUGUCGUCAGCUCGUGUCGUGAGAUGUUCGGUUAAGUCCGCUAACGAGCGCAACCCUCGCUGUGUGUUACAAGUGUCACACGGAACUGCCGGUCAUAAACCGGAGAAGUGGGGAUGACGUCAAGUCAGCAUGGCCUUUAUAUCCUGGGCUACACACACGCUACAAUGGGAAGGGACAAUAGGUUGCGAAGCCGCGAGGCGGAGCCAAUCCAGCAAAACUUCCCUCAGUUCAGAUUGCAGGCUGCAACUCGCCUGCAUGAAGUUGGAGUUGCUAGUAAACGCAGGUCAGCCAUACUGCGUUGAAUACGUUCCCGGGGCUU